AGCUUUAUAGUCAAUUAUAUGAUUUUAGACUGCAAUUCUAAAGUAGUAAUAAAAUUACUAAAGCUU
rnacentral:tRNA from 1 species